rnacentral:lncRNA from 1 species
GUCUGUCCGGACUCCGCUCACACCUUCAUUCAACAACAGUGUCGGGGUUAAAGUGUUGCAAUGCGUUCAUAUACCUGGGCAGAUUUGAAAAAGACUUAUCCAAGUUGCCAUAAACAAGUUCAGAGGCACAUUUGCGAGCGCGAUAUGCCCUUAUUUUAGUUACAUUACAACCAUACUCCUUAUGGACGGCUGCGAUACACUCUUUAAUCUUGAACCUAACGGACACUUCCAAAUAUGGAAUCAAGACAAGAGAAAUUAAGUCGACACCCAAGAUGAAGUGAUUCUCAUUGUAUAUGUCCAUUUCACAUUUGUGCUCGCUAAUAAAUUUACCCGCUUUCCACAUGCCUCAUCUCUUCUUGGUGGCACGCAACAUCCAGUGACAGCCCAUAAAAAUCUAUGGCAUACAGCCUUUCAUUUAUCCGUAGUUGACUCAACUACAGUCAUGUCACGGCACUCUAUUAUGCUGUAGAUUUUUAUAGCCCUAAUUAGGCGAGCUUUAUCGGGGAAAUACAUGCCCUUAGUCAGAACAGAUGGCCUGGACUCAUCCCACAUUUGUGACCGAAAUUCAUCAUCAUCCCUUGUGAAGGCAUCCACGUUCGGUAUGCUUGGAAAAUUAUCAAGGUAGGGGAUCAAAAUUCAUCAUCUUCUCUUGCGAGGGCAUCCACGUCCGGCGUGCUUGGCAAAUUAUCAAGGUAGGGGAUAUUCCGCUCAUGAAAUGGAACAUGGGACUCGUACACUCUAGGUCGCACGGGAGGUGGAGGAACAUGCUCCCUCGCCGGUUCAGGUUCAACAUUCACUUCCUCCUCGUCAUCACCAACCUCAAAAAGGAAGGGUGUGUCAUCCUCAGACUCAUCCGCAUUAUUGUCGUAGUCACUAUCAUCUUCCUGACUCUGCGCAUCACCCAAAUCAUGAGUGAAUACGUCGUCUAUUGGAAGUUGUG